rnacentral:rRNA from 1 species
UACGUAGGGUGCAAGCGUUAAUCGGAAUUACUGGGCGUAAAGCGUGCGCAGGCGGUUUUGUAAGUCAGAGGUGAAAGCCUGGAGCUCAACUCCAGAACUGCCUUUGAGACUGCAUCGCUUGAAUCCAGGAGAGGUGAGUGGAAUUCCGAGUGUAGAGGUGAAAUUCGUAGAUAUCGGAAGGAACACCAGUGGCGAAAGCGGCUUCCUGGUCCAGCACCGACGUUUCAGGCACGAAAGCGUGGGGAGCAAACAGG